AUUGAACGCUGGCGGCAUGCCUUACACAUGCAAGUCGAACGGUAGGGGGAGCAAUCCCCUGAGAGUGGCGAACGGGUGAGUAAUGCAUCGGAACGUACCUGGUGGUGGGGGAUAGCCCGGCGAAAGCCGGAUUAAUACCGCAUAAGACCUGAGGGUGAAAGCGGGGGACUCGCAAGAGCCUCGCGCUAUCAGAGCGGCCGAUGUCAGAUUAGCUAGUUGGUGGGGUAAAAGCCUACCAAGGCGACGAUCUGUAGCUGGUCUGAGAGGACGACCAGCCACACUGGGACUGAGACACGGCCCAGACUCCUACGGGAGGCAGCAGUGGGGAAUUUUGGACAAUGGGCGCAAGCCUGAUCCAGCCAUGCCGCGUGCGGGAAGAAGGCCU
rnacentral:rRNA from 1 species